AUGGUAUUCAACCUUAAGGCUGUGUCUUUAAAAUGCAUGAUUUUUCCACAUGAUUCUGGGUGGUUUUCCUUACUCAUCUGUUUUGGAAGGAGGAAGGGGAGAAGUUAACCUCACAGAGGACAUCAAACAAAAAGAAGCAAAUUCGUAAUGAUAAUAGUAGUGGCAAAUAACAAUUGUGUUUUUACUAUUUGGCAGAUGUUUUCUGGUUGAAAUAUCAUGGCUCUCCUACGAAGUGGACAUUAUUGCCAUUUUACAACUCCAGAUGAAUUGUCUUCCUCCCCUUGGAAAUUCCACAUGACUACCCAACAUGCUGCUUUGUCAUAUUACUAAAGAUUGCAUUUAAGGUAAUCCAGAGGAGGAUGCUAUGGCACUAGAAGAUUGUGGAGUCAUUCAAUGGAAGAUGCUUGGAUACCUGAAUGGUUAUAUGGAGCCCAGAUCCUGGUCAAUCAUCAAUGAACUAUAAGAGGAGUAAGCAGUAACCCUUUACUGUAUCAAGCCAAUGAUAUUUGAGGAUAAUUUAUACAGCCUUUAAACUGACUUCAAUAAUGAUACCUACUCAGUUUUCACGAUCUCUUUCAAGGAUCCUUGUUUGGGUACCAAUCUCUGAUCUAACAUUUCCCCCUCUGUGGCAAGUCACUCAACCCCUCUGUAACUUGCCAAUGGUCGUAACAAUACCCUUUACGGGUAUUGUUUAUGAUGUUGAUUGAGGAUUAAAUGAGAUAAGCUAUGCAAAAUAUCUGGACCAAAGUGAAUUCAACAUAAAGACCAGCUUUCAUUAUGAUCACCAUUAUCAUUCCAACUCUGAGACUCCAUAAUUGCUGAUUUUCAAAACUCAGAGCCAACAAUCCUGAGAAAUGGCCCUAAAUGUUUCCCCCACAGUUUUGAUGAAACAGUUUUAAAAUAUAGACUAUAAGAAAUCCAUGGAAUGUUACUGAUUAUAAAAAUCACUGUCAUGUCUUUCAUAAAAACAAUCUGAUGAAAAGCCAGUUUCGAUUGAAUGACCAUCAGGGUGUGAUCUUGGAGGUGAGAUGCUGAGGCAGCAGUUAUGAGGAGGAGUCGGGCACUGAAGAUGACAAACAUCAUGAGACCAAGUGUUAUUGUUAUCCUUCAUAUGCUCAAAACUUUGUCACUGAAAUAACACAGACCACUAACCAUCUGUUCCCCAAAAGCCAUGACUCAUGAAUUUCAUGCUCUUCAAAUCUAGUGCUUAAAAAAUCAUCAAGUAUGCAAAGUUGUUCCAAGAAAUCCCUACCUACUAAUUGUAUCCAGUGCUGUUAUUUGUUGUGUAUUCUCUCAACACUUACUGGGAUGUUUUGCUAGCUGUCCAACCAAAGCUGUAAUUAACUCAGUUUCCAUGGUGUCAUGGAUAAAGCACGGUCUUUGGCCAAAGACAAAAUUGCAUGGACUCCUGGAUCCAGUCCCAUAGUGUGUAUUUGAAAACGUGUUAUUUCCUUUACCUCCUUCAGUCUCAAUGUCACUACAUAUAAGAUGGAGAUAAUGAUACAUCUCUUGUUAUAUUUUUGUAGUAAUUGGAGAUAAUUAAUUCAAAGUUACUGGCACAUGA